rnacentral:rRNA from 1 species
UACGUAGGUGGCAAGCGUUGUCCGGAUUUAUUGGGUUUAAAGGGUGCGUAGGCGGUUUUAUAAGUCAGGGGUGAAAUACGGCAGCUCAACUGUCGAGGUGCCAUUGAUACUGUAGAACUUGAGUACAGACGAGGUAAGCGGAAUUGACGGUGUAGCGGUGAAAUGCUUAGAUAUCGUCAAGAACACCGAUAGCGAAGGCAGCUUACUAGACUGUAACUGACGCUGAGGCACGAAAGUGUGGGGAUCAAACAGG